UACGGAGGGUGCAAGCGUUAAUCGGAAUUACUGGGCGUAAAGCGUGCGCAGGCGGUUUGUUAAGUCUGUUGUGAAAUCCCCGGGCUCAACCUGGGAAUGGCGAUGGAUACUGGACAGCUAGAGUGUGUCAGAGGAUGGUGGAAUUCCCGGUGUAGCGGUGAAAUGCGUAGAGAUCGGGAGGAACAUCAGUGGCGAAGGCGGCCAUCUGGGACAACACUGACGCUGAAGCACGAAAGCGUGGGGAGCAAACAGG
rnacentral:rRNA from 1 species